UACGAAGGGGGCUAGCGUUGUUCGGAAUUACUGGGCGUAAAGCGCACGUAGGCGGAUUGUUAAGUCAGGGGUGAAAUCCUGGAGCUCAACUCCAGAACUGCCUUUGAUACUGAAAGUCUUGAGUAUGGGAGAGGUGAGUGGAACUGCGAGUGUAGAGGUGAAAUUCGUAGAUAUUCGCAAGAACACCAGUGGCGAAGGCGGCUCACUGGCCCAUAACUGACGCUGAGGCACGAAAGCGUGGGGAGCAAACAGG
rnacentral:rRNA from 1 species